AACGAACGCUGGCGGCAGGCCUAACACAUGCAAGUCGAGCGCACCUUCGGGUGAGCGGCGGACGGGUUAGUAACGCGUGGGAACGUACCUUACGGUAAGGAAUAGCCUUUGGAAACGAAGAGUAAUACCUUAUACGCCCUUCGGGGGAAAGAUUUAUCGCCGAAAGAUCGGCCCGCGUUAGAUUAGAUAGUUGGUGGGGUAAUGGCCUACCAAGUCUACGAUCUAUAGCUGGUUUUAGAGGAUGAUCAGCAACACUGGGACUGAGACACGGCCCAGACUCCUACGGGAGGCAGCAGUGGGGAAUCUUGGACAAUGGGCGAAAGCCUGAUCCAGCCAUGCCGCGUGAGUGAUGAAGGCCUUAGGGUCGUAAAGCUCUUUCGCCAGGGAUGAUAAUGACAGUACCUGGUAAAGAAACCCCGGCUAACUCCG
rnacentral:rRNA from 1 species